rnacentral:misc_RNA from 1 species
AUUACAGUAAAAUGUCAGAAAUUGUUGAAUAAAUCCCCAGAAACGACGGUUAUUCCUGUCUAUUCAUUGAGCUGAUCGAGCUGAGCAGAGCUGAGCCUGACUAGCUGCCGGAGCUGAGGGACUGCAUGUCUAUAUAUAGCAGUACAUGACCACAGCCGAGUUGCGACGGUUGGUGCAGUAUUGACAAGUGAGAACUUAGCCCAUCCCAGGCAGCCCAGCAGGAGGCAGGGGACGGACUUCCGUGCACUUUCCAUAAAGUAUCAAGUUUUCUUGCUGCUGCAGUAAUGAAGAAAUAACGUUACACUUUUCGAAAAAAGAUGACAGGUCCACAGCAUUAGCCGAUGCUCUAUGCAUUCGUCAUUGACAUUAUUACUGAUUUGAGCAAUAAAAAUGCCUCUUUCAAUUUGGAGAAUUCGAGCAACCUGGCCCUCCAGCUCCUGGCCUGGGAAGUCGCUCCAAUUGGUAGCAGUAACCUCAAUACCUUGUAGGCCUAGAUCGACAUCUUGUGCCCGGUCUACACAGUUUGACCAAAGACAAAGGAGAGUAUGCUUCAUUAAACAUAUCAGCCUCAACUGUCUGACCCUGGCCCAGUCUACCCCACGUUUAUUUUCUUGGUCCCUACACGAACGUUUUUCACACUUCGUCCCUGCAAGUCGACCUGUCAAGGAGAGCAGUAUUGAACAGUUGCAACAAUUUGUAGACAAUUCAAAGCGCUUGUUUGUACUGACGGGUGCAGGAAUUUCAACUGAGUCUGGAAUACCAGAUUAUCGCUCAGAUGAAGUUGGAUUGUAUGCUCGUAGUGAUAGAAGGCCUAUACAGUACCAUGAUUUUGUCCAUAGUCCUUUACGUCGCCAGCGCUACUGGGCCAGGAACUAUGUAGGAUGGCCGCAAUUCAGCUCUUUUAUGCCAAAUCAAACCCACCUUGCUCUUGCUGAAUGGGAGAAAGUAGGAAAAAUUCAUUGGUUGGUGACACAAAAUGUAGACGCGCUUCAUACCAAAGCAGGCAGUCAACGUGUAAUAGAACUUCAUGGCUGCUCUCACAGAAUCAUUUGCAUGAGCUGCAAGACCCUGACAAGCAGGAAUGUCCUUCAGGAGAGGAUGAUGGCAGCAAACCCAGACUUUCACACUGAGAAGCAAUAUGCCCCUGCACCUGAUGGAGAUGUGAUCCUUCCUGAUGAACUCGUUACACGGUUUCAUAUGCCUUCGUGUGAGAGCUGUGGGGGACUUCUCAAACCUCAUCUUGUAUUUUUUGGGGACAAUGUCGACAGAGAGAUCAAGGAGUCAGUCUUCCAGAAAUUGGAAGAGAGUGAUGCAGUCCUUGUUAUAGGAUCCUCCUUGGAGGUGUAUUCCGGAUAUAGGUUUAUCCACUCGGCCUGGGAGCAGAAGAAACCUGUUGCAGUCAUCAACAUAGGCAAGACUAGGGCUGACAAGCUGGGACCACUGAAGAUAGAAGGCAGGUUAGGGGACAUCAUUCCUCGCAUCAGGGUAUCAUGAUAUCAAGCAGGGAGCAAACUCAGGAAAUUAGGAGCUGAGCAGACUACAUGUCUUCUCGAAGAGUUCGUGGACUGCAUUUGCUAGAAAAUCCCUUCGACAGAUGACUCAUAAUGCCAUCAAGGAAACUAAAGCCAGUCAAGAUAAUGACCCACCAGGUGCAGCACUACACCCAAUUAUCGGUCUUCACAUCGUUUACGAGCGCACAUGAUUUACAGAAAAUGAACAAGUUUAUCUGAAAGGUGCGAAAUAAAGUAAACAAACUUAGAAGCCCAAACCUCACUGAAAUCUAACAAAAUGAAGAAAGUACUUUCUAAACCAUACAUUAGUCCAAUGUUGUAAAAAUAAGCUUAAGAAUGUUGAAAAAUAUUUAGAGAGGCUGUUAAUAUUAGGAAAUAAAAAAUCAAAAUAAAAAACUCACCCAAAAUUCACUUCUUUUUCUUGACCAGCUACAAAAUUAAUGCUCUGAAUAUUUUCAAAAAUAUUGAUUGGUUAUUCCUGUAAAUCUCGUGCAAUAUAAUUGUGCACAAUGGUUAUGUAAACAAAAGGACUCUGAUAUCAAUUUUCAAAAUAAUUGUAUCACAUCCGAUCCAUUGCAUCCUAGUACAUUAAUCCUUAUUGCAGUCCCACAUGUUCAUAUUUGAGUGUGUUGUGCUGUGUGGAAUUGCGGCUCGUGAAACGAACAUGGCGCAUCUUUUUGGGGGAGGGGAAGGAGUUAUUGUAAUUAUGCUUUUCAAAUUUUUCGGGAGCAAAUAAUCUACAGUUAAGUAAACCCCCUUUUUUUAUCAUAGAUGUGCACCAAAGGUCUUAUAAUGUAUGUUGAUACAUGUUUAAUUAUACUAUUGGGAAUUAUACCAUCACAACCAGAACUUUGCCUUUAAACUCAAUAGAUUUUCUUCAUUUGUUCAUUUUAAAAACAGAUUAUGCUGAUCAGGAUUUUUUAUCAAGAAAUCAUUGAAUGCUUUACUACUGUCAGGUACCCCCCUAAUACAGAUUUGGUUCAAAGCUACAAAAGUAACGAUUGAAUUUUCCAGCAAUCAGAUUUGAUUUCUCAAUUUAUUCUCCAUCAAUUUCCAUUAAACAAAUGUUGGAUUUUUUUGUUCUUUUAAAGAUAUUGUUAAUCACAAGCCAUGAUGAGUAGUAGUACGCUUAUAGUACAGUUCACACGAGAUUGAUCUAAUUGAGUACUUUUAUAGUGUAACUUGUAAAAUUUAAUCUAAUUUUCUUAUUGAGAGAUUUCACAAGUAAUCUUGUUAUCCAUGGCAUUUGGGGAAAUUUUCUUUGACUACUGGUCUUCUUUUUACACAAUGGUAUAUUCACAUCAUGCAGCAAUAAAAAAUAGCUCAAUAAUUUGUCAAAAGCAAUAUCAACUUUUUGAUAAAAAAUAUCACUCCAGUCAUUGACAGCCAGGGCAGCCUUGAAUUUUUAAAAAUAUUUUUUCAAAGUUUGUUCUUCAAACAUAUUUUCAAUGACUAGUAAUAGCUGAAGUUUGUUUCACUGAAGUAAAAAAAAUGUCAAAUGUUCUGUAAAUGUCCCGUAUGACACGUAUGGAAUCACCCUUUGUGGUUAAUAGCCCCUUCUGGCAAUAAUCAUUAGCUGAAAAAAAAAGAAAGAAGCACAUUGGAGCUGUCUUCAUGUACAUACAAUGAAUAAUACAAAUUAAUAAAAGUAUAUAAAACCUCACUGUAUCGCUCAGUCAGUAAAAUACCAGAAUUAGCACAUCACGCUAUUCAAUUUGUAAAUUAACAUGAAAAUAUGCAAAAAUAAAUCUAGAUCUUGACUAAAAACAUUGCAUUGGCAAAGAGAGUCUACUAACUUUUUGUCGCAACGGAUGAACUCCAGGGCUGAAAUUGCCUGGUCAUUUUGAAGUGUGACAUCAUCAUCAUAUGGAUUUUGGAGCUGUAUAAAAUUGUAUGGCAGAAUCUCUUUGAUCAGUAGGGUAGUUGCUUUCAGGGGAGAUGGAGGUGGUAAACCUCCACCAGUUUCUUGUUGUUUUCUCCUGUAUUCCCCAUACUCCUUGGCAAUUAUGCGUUGUCGCUUCCACAAUUCCUUUAUUUGAGCCACUGCCCAUUUUUCUCCAAAUCUUUGCGUGAAUUGAUCAUGUACAGCAUUCCAGGCAUCUUUCUUCACUUCAUUAGCUUUUUGAUGUGUCUCCUUGUUGCAUAUGACUUGAUGGCGAUCAUGAAUCAGUAUUAAAAAGAGAUUAAUUUCGCUGUUUUGCCAUUUGCUUAGUUUGGGUUUUGCCAUUUUAGAAGUUGCAGCAGCUGUUGUGUGGUGGAAAUUGCAUGCAGUGGUUGUGUGUGUGCUAUGGAUAUGUGUGUUGUGUGUAUGUGAAUUGAAUAUAACCCAGGAGAAAAACCUGAUAGAGUGUGAGAUAGAAACUUGCAAUGCAGCAAUUCAGAGUUGCCAUAGUGGUUUCCUGCAAAGUUUGAGUUUCAUUUCUUUCAUCCUCUGACAGGACUAUCUCUUCUUUCAAUCUUAGAUCAUUGAUGUUAGCAAUGUAGUGUGCUGGUGUCAUUACUUAUGCCCGUUUCCACUCUUCCCAAAGGCUUCUUUUUCUGCUCUUAGCUUUUUGCCCAUUUCCUUCCACAUGUUCAAUGCUCUCCCUAUUCUGUAAGCAUCUGCUUGUACCUGGUGAAGAGCAGUAGCAAUGGAUGAAAGCCAAGCCAACAGUUCUUCAGUAGAUCCCUUCAGAGAAGGUUCGAUGACUUUCCUUUCUAACUUUCAGGGGUGCUUUUGAUGAAAUACUCCUGUCCCAUAAAAAACUCACCACAUUAAA